UGAAAAUUCCUCAUGAUUUAUGCAAGACAAAAAAGUUACUUAGGUACAUGCUUUGUCCUUGAAAGCACAAUGUGUACAACACAGAAACAAAGUAGUGGCUAGAAACCCUCCCUAUAAGACGGGUGUCUUUUUCCCCAGGUCUCCAGCCGGCUGCAGUGGGAGAUGACCUCACAGUUCAAAGGCCUGCCACUUCCUUGUGACGGCUCUCAGAGGCCUGCACGGCAGGAGAGAAACCUUUCUCUCAGGACCAAAAAUAGUUGUUCUUGGAUCAGACUGAGAAAGAUCUUGCUGAGAUUCAAGGUUCGGAGUGCUGGAGGAUUUUCUCCUCCUCUCAACCAGGGCAGGCAGUUCUGUGGCCACCGCAGGCCAGACCGCUGCAUGGCUGCUUGCUUCCUGAGGACAGCAGGAUUGAUUUCACUGCUGGAGCUGCUGGUGCCCGGGAAGGUAACUGGAGGUGGCCCCUAGCAGGGACGGUGAUACUCAGACGGGCUAUGGGGCCUGGUGGGAUUCCAGGUGCUCCCCAAACAUGCAUGUUAGCUCAUCCUAUGUUUCUUAUUCCCAUUUUGACAUCUCUAGGCUCUUUUUUCAUUGUUGCAUUUAGUAGAAUAGAUCGUCCACUUUCAUUGCUCAAAAUUAAAACUAUACAAAUGAGCUAAACAAAAAAAACCCCAAAUCACUCAUAAAAUCACCACUUGAAUAGAAUCAUAGUUGCAUAAUGUGUCCUUCUAGUCUUGUAUCCACAGUUUGUUUUAAAACAUCGGCGCACCUGUGCAUAGUAUGCUAUGAAUUCCUCCUACCUAGUUACCCGUGUCACUUGUCUUUAGCAGCUGUGAAGUACUCUUCUCUCCUGUCAUUUCUGGAGGCUGCUUCAGCUUCCCCUGCGGUGGGAGGGUGUGCUUGGCCCAUUCCCUAAGGUACCACAGGCAGGUGGUUCAGCGUUUGGGCUCCCCAGCUUGUAAGCAAGAUCCUAGUUAAUGCCUGGGUAACCAAAUCUUUCCAUGGCACCCUGCCUUUGUCGUGUUUUUCUUUCAUUGAUUAUGGAACACACCCACUAGGAAGUGGGUGAAACAUUUUUACAAAUAGUGGAAUAAUUAUAAAAAUGAACCCCUGUGUCAUUACUGUGAGAAGACCCUGGCCAGAAGCCCACACACCGUGUUCCCGCUCCCUCCUGCCGCCCUGGAGCGACCCGCCACACGAUAGCCUUGUUUCCAUCUUAGUUUACCGCUCAUGAAUGAACUGUUUUGACCUUUUAUAGAAAGUGUGGUUGGGAACUUUUAUAAGAUUGGAUUCAUAUUUUUGUGCCUGGCUUUUUGGGUCAGUGUGUGUUUGUCAGAUUUAUCCACGUAGCUCAUUCCUUUGCAUUAGUACCUAGCAGCACACCAUUGUGUGACUGAGCUUUGAGCAUCCGUGGAGUGCAGUGCAGGCACCAGACUGCGCUGUCACUGCAGUCUGCAGGGAUGCACACACCCAUUCCUCCAAAGUGUGUGACUCAGGUGGAACUGACCUCAUGGGGAGACACCCUUAGCCUGAGCAGAUGACAGGAAAAAGAAACAACAGUCACAGCGUUCAUACUGUGCCUGGUAGCCAGGUUUGGCCAUUCCCAGUAGUUCCUCUCUCUCAGUGUUUGACAUUUUCUGUUUAAAGUUGUCAGUCUGCAAGGUAAGAAAAGCAUUUUGUUUUUUAUUUACGUAUGCCAGAUCAAUAAGGAUGAGACUGGAAGUACUGGUAGGGCAGCAGCAGUCUUACACAAUAUUUUAUACAAUAUGUACCCUUGUACAGUUUGCAUUUAAAUCUUACACUGUGAUAAUGGGGUGAUUUUUUUUUCGGCCACAGAGGAAGUUGGGUUAUUUAGCUCUAUUCUUAUCCAAAAUAUCAAAUAAAUAUUUCAUAUUAUUUCCACUUGGGGGAAAAAUAAGGAUGAGAAUUUAUUUAUGUUUUUUUGUGGUCAUUUGGAUUUUCUUUUUAAGAAGGAAAGGGCUUGACUCUUUUUUGAAUUCUUUCUGUUUUGGCUGUUGUUGAUUUGGAAGAGUUCUUCAUAUAUCCUGGAAAUAAGUUUCUUCUCCCAACUAAUAGCUCUUUUCUAGUUCUUUACAGUAUCUUCUUGACAGCCAUACUUUUAAAAAUGUAGUGAAAUAUGUAAUGUUUUCCUUAGAGUCAAUGUUUUUUCAAUUGUAAGACUUUCUUACGUUCACUCUAAAAUAUUUUAUACUACUUCUAAGGUUUCUAGUUUACUCUCUUCCAGUUGCACGCUAAACCAAUUGGGAUCAUUUUGCAUAUGGUGUGGGAUAGAUGUAUAAUUCUUUUCCUUAUCUUUUUAAAAAUACAGGUUAACAAUCCCUUAUCCAAAAUGCUUGGAACCAGAAGUGUUUCAGAUCUCACAGAGUUUUUCAGUUUUUGGAAUAUUUGCAUGUACAUAAUGAGCUACCUAGGGGAUGUGACAGAGUCUAAGCCCGAAGCUCAUUCAUGUUUCAUGGACCCUGUGUGCAAAUGGCCUGAGGGUAAUGUUUGUAUUCCUGUGUUUGGACUACCACCCUCCACGUGAGGUCAGGUAUGGGAUUUUCACUUGUGGGAUCAUGUGCUCAAAAGGUUUUGCAUUACGGAGCAUUUCUGACUUUGUGUUUGCAGAUUUGGCUGCUCAGCCUGCAUAUGGGUCCCCAACUAUCCUCACAAUAUUUACUAAAGUCUGUUCUUUACCCACUAAGCUGCCCUGUUGCUUAUGUGUAGAGCAAACACCCACGUGAAACACAAGUCCAUUUCUGAAGUGGUUCUGAUCCACUAGUCCACUGGCCUAUUACUGAAGCACAGUUAAUUCUACCUCAACAGUGAGUCUUGAUACCUGCUGGGGACCAUCCUCUCACGUGGUAGUCAUUCUUGUUUCUCAUUCAUCCCUUUAAAUCCUAUACGCAUUUUAGAAUCAAUUUGUUGGGUUCUAGAAAGACAAUUGGAAGCUGGACAUGGUAUUGCACACUUGUAAUCCAGAACUCAGGAGGCUGAGGCAGGAUCACUGUAAGUUUGAAGACAGCCUGGACUGCAUAGCAAGACCCUGGCUUUUAAAAAGCAAAAUAAUAACAAUAAUAAUUCAUUUUUUAAAAUUUGGAAUUUCAGUGAGGUUGUACUGGAGGAGAAUUUAUAUAUUUACAAAAUUGAGGCUUCCAGUCUAGGACCGUUAAAGUCAGCAUUCUUUAAUGCCUACGAGAACAUCGUUAAAUUGCUCAAAUAUCUUCAACUCUUUUGUUAGAGUUCCAUAUUUUGAUGAAAUUAUAUAUGCUAUCUCUUAAAAUUUAUAUUACCUGAUGUCCAGUAUUAAAGAGUAUGAUUUUAUUUCCAGCAAAUUUAUUUAAUUUUCUCAAUCAAAGAAGUGCAUCUGAAUUUUCUUUUGGAUUUCAUACGUGUGCGAUCCAAUCUCAUUGUUUUUUCGGUACUGGUGACUGAUUGAACCAGGGUCUUCACACUGAGCUACAUCGACUUCUCUCCUCCCCUUCACACCCAGGUGCGCUUCCCUGACCUUUCUGUGAGGGACGGGGCGGGUCCCAGACCCCCAAGCCCUGGCUUCGCUUGAUGACUCACUGCCAGCCAGCGGCCCCUGUACUGGGAAGGAGCUGAGUGAGUCUCCCCAGCCUGCCUGUUCUCUGCCACCUCGAAGUAGCUGCACUGGAAGAGCUAUGACAGCAGCCUCCUGCGGGCCUAUGGUUCGGGACAGACAGGGGUGACUGGGCGCCCCCACAGGGAAGGAUGUUGCUUCUCCAGUUACAGUGCCCGCUCUUUCCUGCUCUGCCUCCAUCUGCUCAUCCUGUCUUCCACUGUGCUUUUGAAAGGGUCGGGUGGGGCCGCUCUGCAGUGAUCAGGACAGCGCUUAGUGUUGUACUAGGUGCGAUUUGAAAUAUUCCAUCUAACAGGUACCAGAACUGCAUCGUAGGCUUUGUAGAUGGUGGUGGACAAAAUAUAGUCCACACUUAUCAGUUUUCCUCCCACUGACCUCCAUUCCCUGGAGCCCGGGUGAGCAGUGGAACUGCCUUGCAGAACAGUGCCAGCUGCCAUGAAAGAAGUUGGACUUAGCCUAAGCACCCCGUGGUGUAAGGAGCCCCAAAUCAGCCACAGCAGACAGAGAAAAUGCCUGAGCCGCUGCCCACCUGCUCUGACCAUCACAGCUCAGGUACCAGGCAGUGAGGAAGAGGCCCUCGUGCACAUGCGCAGCUCCUACCCCACCGGAGGCCGCCUCGUGGUAAUGCUGCUGAGAAGGCCUGGCCAGGCCAUGUGCCCUCGGAGCCACCAGAGACGACGCUAAGUUGUUUAGGCAUUAAAGGUGGGCUGCUACUCAUGCCUCAGUGGGGGACAAGAACAUAUAUAUCUUAAUUCUCACCACAUCUUGGAGACAGAGACUGCGGUUCUGCUGAUUUCACAGAGGAGCAAACAGAGAUGACAUCUGUGGCCAAGUUUGCUCUGCUAGAUUACAGGGGAGCCAGGAUUGGAACACCAGCCUGAGUGACCGAGACCUGCCUGGAAUGAGCAGCUGUGGGCAGCGUGUUCCAACCCUUCCUUCCUUCCGCAGACGGAAAAGCGGUAUGGGUUUGUGCUUGCGGGGCGCUUUCAGCCUAAUAAAAUACAAAAUGGAAACAGUGAAAAUAAAUGAGGAAGUAUCUGGUGAAUUUAUUUGAAUG
rnacentral:lncRNA from 1 species